rnacentral:rRNA from 1 species
UAUCUCUGUAGAGUCUGCAUAUCAAUAAGCGGAGGAAAAGAAACUAACAAGGAUUCCCUUAGUAACGGCGAGUGAAGCGGGAAGAGCUCAAAUUUGAAAUCUUCAAGGUUCUACCUUGACGAAUUGUAGUUUAAAGAAGUGUUUUCUGUUAGAUGAGUAGCAAAAGUUCCUUGGAAUGGGACAUCAUAGAGGGUGAGAAUCCCGUAUUUGGUUAUUCAUUCUAGCUUUGUGAUACACUUUCAAAGAGUCGGAUUGUUUGGGAAUGCAGUCCAAAAUGGGUGGUAAAUUUCAUCUAAAGCUAAAUAUUGGCGAGAGACCGAUAGCGAACAAGUACCGUGAGGGAAAGAUGAAAAGAACUUUGAAAAGAGAGUUAAACAGUACGUGAAAUUGUCAAAAGGGAAGCGUUUGACACCAGUGUUGUUUUUCCGAAAAUCAAUUACGAAUGGUUUGAUUUUGAGGAGUUAUGACUUCAUCGGCUUGCUUCUUUCUUUAUGAAACUUUCUUAAUGCACUUUUCGGUUAACAAGUCAACAUCAAUUUCUUUUGUUGUAAAAGGGUAUGAGGAAGGUGGUUUUCUUUUCGGAGAAAGUGUUUAUAGCCUUGUGCCUCUGCAAUCGGAGAGAUUGAGGUCUGCAGCGUAGAUCCUUCGGGGUUAGAUACACUUGUGCUAAGUCGUAGCUUUUCAUAGACAACUUGUUGACUAUGUUUAGUCAUGCGGCUUACUCGCUUGUGCUAUUUUACCUACGCUUAGGAUGUUGACUGAUAUGUAGUCGUA